rnacentral:tRNA from 1 species
CAAAGUGUAGCUUAACUAAAGCACUUGGCUUACACCCAAAAGAUUUCACUCACUCGUGGCCACUUUGGGCUAAGA